rnacentral:rRNA from 1 species
AGAAUCAACGCUGGCGGCGUGCCUAACACAUGCAAGUCGAACGAGAAAGUGGAGCAAUCCAUGAGUAAAGUGGCGCACGGGUGAGUAACACGUGACUAACCUACCCUUGAGUGGGGGAUAAACCUAGAGAAAUCUGGGCUAAUACCGCAUAAUACCUACGGGUCAAAGGAGCAAUUCGCUUUAGGAGGGGGUCGCGGCAGAUUAGUUAGUUGGCGGGGUAAUGGCCCACCAAGACAGUGAUCUGUA